rnacentral:rRNA from 1 species
UACGGAGGGUGCGAGCGUUGUCCGGAAUCAUUGGGCGUAAAGCGCGUGUAGGCGGCUUGGUAAGUCUGCUCUGAAAGCCCGGGGCUCAACCCCGGGAGGCGGGUGGAUACUGUCAAGCUCGAGUCCGGAAGAGGAGUGUGGAAUUCCUGGUGUAGCGGUGAAAUGCGCAGAUAUCAGGAGGAACACCAAUGGCGAAGGCAGCAUCCUGGACCAUUACUGACGCUGAGUGAGCGAAAGCCAGGGGAGCAAACGGG